AGCACUGAAGAUACAUAUCAGCGAAUCGACCGCUGUACAACUAGAGGAACACUUUAGAGGGACAUUCAAGGUUGAUGAACGAGGAAACAUAUCAAUAAAGGGUAAAGGAUCGAUGAAGACAUUCUGGCUAGUGGAUCGCAUCCCUCCAUUCACACCGCGUAGAGCGCACGUAGGAUGGGAAUAUGACACCUCACCAUCCUAUCAUGGUCGUUCUAUUACCCCAUCUGGACGAAGUACACCAACAACACCCAUACACCAACCAGCUAGCACCCAAGGUAGGUCCUGGGAAACACCCAUCACGGAUUUACCCAUCAUCAUUAAAAAUGCUCUCACUUCUCCAGUACAAGGUGGAACGUCGCAUCCACUGUCAUCUAGCCUUGGGAAGUCCAGAUCCUAUCCCGUUACGCCCAAGAAAUCUCGCAAGACACCGAGUAAUCCAGUCACUCCAAGUAGAGCGUUAAAGUAUAACCCUGUAAUCUUAUGUACCGAAGCACCUUCCAAUGAUUGAGUGUCACAGUCGGUGCUGAUAUUGAUUACCAGCCUUUUGCGCCUUAUCAUGGUUUUUAACACUCCACCAUAAUAAAUACUGCCAUUGAUAUUAUUCAUCAGUAUCACCAUCAUCAUCAUCGUCAUCAUCAUCGUCAUCAUCAUCAUCACUAUUGUCAUCAUCUUCAUCAUCGUCGUCGUCAUCAUCAUCAUCAUCACCAUCAUCAUCAUCACCAUCAUCAUCAUCAUUACUGUUAUUAUAUUCAUCAGCGUUAUCAUCCUCACAAACAUCAAUCAGCGAUGAAAAUGAAAUUGAUAUACAUGUCACUUUGUUUUUAUGGCACAUAUAUAAUGUAGACGCUGGUUUACCGUCCGUUUUGGUUUCGUAACUCUUGUCUUUGGGUUUCGGCCGUGAAGUCUCCGAACUAGGCCAGUUUGGCGAAAGGGCUUGCCCUGGUAUGGACAAGAUUCUAAGCAAUGAUGAUCAUUAAUUUUUUUCACAUAUGAAAAUAUUUCGAGUAAUAUACCUAAUAUCGAGAUAAAUUUGGUUUAAAAUUUUCACAUUUAUCCAGCGUUAGAGCAUGUUUUCCUUACGAUCAUAUAGUACCACAAUCCUCUAUCUAUUUACUUUUUUAAGUUAUACUUUCAAUGUAUUUUACGACCUUGAUUGAUUUUCAUUUUCGUCACAUAGAGUGUUAUGUUAGAGUAAUGGCUCCUUUUUCCAUUUAUAAAAAUAUCCGUCUCAUUUUACGGGGUGAUCUAAAUGUACCCCAUGUUUACUUUCCCUUCUUUUUAUUUUGUUUAUGUUGAGUCAUCAGGAAGAAAUUUUCCUUCACUUUCAUAAACAUUAUGAAUAACCAAUCUGUAGACCCGUUGUCUUCUCCUUAUGCCUCGUUCAUCUUCUGCUUAACCCACCUGUGUACAUUUGGGGGGGGGGGGGGGUUGGGGCAUGUCUCCCCACCCCAAAGUUUCACGACCAAGAAAUUAAAAGGAAAGGGAAAGAGUGAAGUGACAAAUUAGUAUUUUCUGGAUAUUGAGUCAAAAUCUAUCAAACAAAAAAUAUUUUUGUUUCAAAAUGGUCAAAAUUUUUGCUCCAUUCGUCUUAUUUGCCCCCUCACAAUUUUUGGCUCAUAACGCCACUGACAUGGAAUGUGAAUUGAACUCGAAAAUCAAUCAAAAUUAAUUUCGUUUCUUGCAUGUUAUUUCAUAAAUUCAAUUCCAAUAUUCAUUAAGAUUUCCCUAUACAGACACACGGUAGAUUGGAUCCAGCGCCUCUUUUUUUUGGUCAUUCAUUGAAAUUGGCAGAGACAAUGGUCGGUUUCCAUCGAUCAAUGUAAAUCACAUGGCUCUAACUGUUGGUUUCAUCAAGGAGGUUUCAAAUCUUCUUGGCUUCAUUGAGCACAUAUUUCUGCACUACUCUCUCUCUCUCUCUUUCCGGACUCUGAAUUUGACUUUUUUUUAAUUUGAAAAAUUCUGUUUUUUCAUUCCUUUAUUAAAUACUUGAAACCAUCGCAAUGAACUCAUAAUUCCGCGUAACCACUUCCUGAAUUUAUAUUCAAACAUAAUGACCACGAAACUGUUUGGAAAGUGUUCGUGUGUGUGGGGGGGGGGGGGGGUAAGCUGACCAUGCAAAAGAAUUCCCCGUAUAGAUAGCCAUCGUAACAUUCGAUACACGUUUGUUUAAAAAGUGGGGGAGCUGAAUACAAUUAAUACCAUACAAGAUACGUUUAUGCGCUGAAGCCCCCUUGCCCCCCCUCCCCGUUCCGAAACCACUGAAGCAUUUUAAAUGGCGAUAUUUUUGAGGUACAAUACCGACAUGAAAAAUAUAAGUCUUCCAAGACAAAGAGUAAGUUUACUGCAAUUAAGGCUUUGUUACUGACGACAAUCAACUUUAAUGUACGCUGAAAAAUAUUAUGCGAGAACCUAAACUUGGAAAUGAAAAUAACGUUAUUUAGUUAUUCGUUCGGAUAUAUAAGAACUUGCAGACACAUCUUGUGAUUUUAGCGAAAUAAUUGAUGUGACCUAUGAAUAUGGAAAGCUUGAUCUAUAAUUUAGCAUACGAAGUUAAGUAGUUCUUUGAGUUCCAGUGUGCCGCCGAAGCGAAAGCAACUUCAAAGAAUUUGCCGCCAAUUGUUGAUAUGGGUUUUGAUUGAGUAUUAAAGUACAAUACCUUAAUACCCGAGGGGGCUGUUGGAUAAGAAUAUAUUGAUGACGGUUUUAUUUUAUAAUAUAUAUUUAAAAAAAAACAUGCCAUGCAGAUCACACUAAAUACUUGAUAAGGAGUUUCAUCAUAGAGCUAUGGUUUCAUAUUAUAUUCUACUGUCAUCCAUAAUAAAUUGUAAAUUGUGUUUUACUUCAUUUUCAAUUAUCUACAGUGUUGAAAUUUCUAGUUGUCAUGACAACCUUAAAUCGACUGUAACGUCACUGCAGAUUUGUACGUUUCCCAUUUUAUGAAAUAUGUUUCUAUCUCUUGAAGUUUUGUAAAGUUAAUGGCUAUACCUAGGUCCUAGGAGGGGAUCCAAGUUCGUGGCUUUACUUAUGCUUACAAAAAACACGUUUUAAAUGUAUAAUUCAUCAAAGUACUUGCAGUAAGGGCGCUAAUCAAUCGUACCGGGGGAGGGGGGGGGGGGGGGGGGGUCUGACUCAGAUGCUUAUUCGAUGUCAACACUCUAUUGCAGGGAUUUAAAAUAAAUCCAGGUUGAUUGUAGUUAAGGACAAAUCGCAUUUGGAAUUUACUUUUAAUCCUAAAAUUUAUUUUUGAAUCUCAAGGGAUUUUAAUUUUAAUCCUUUGAGAUUUAAAAAAAAAAAAACAUUUUUUUUAUAAUAAUGAAGUUUUGUUAAGUUAUUGCCUAUACCUAGGAGGGGAUCCGAUUUCGUGGGUAUAUAUACUUUUGCUUACAAAAACACCAUAAAAAUGUAUAAUUCAUCAAUUCUGAAGAAUAUUUAGGAUAUUUUUAAAUCCCAAAUUCGAUUGGUUCCUAUAUACAGUCCACCUGGAUUUGUUCUAAAUCCUUGUAAUUUAGUGUGAACAUAUGGCAUUAACACACAGUCCAUAUUAGACCAACACACAUGCUCUUAUCAGUGGCGUACCUGGGAUUUUUCACAGGGGGGGGCAAAAUCGUCCGCCAAAAAAUUUGACAAG